rnacentral:rRNA from 2 species
UUCAGACCUGAAAUCAGGCGAGGUUACCCGCUGAACUUAAGCAUAUUAUUAAGCGGAGGAGAAGAAAAUAACUAUGACUCCCUUAGUAACGGCGAGUGAACCGGGAUCAGCUCAAAGUGGAAAUCAACUGCUCUUUACUGAGCUGUUGACUUGUAGA